rnacentral:tRNA from 1 species
AGAAAUUUAGGUUAACACCACACCAAGAGCCUUCAAAGCCCUAAAUAUGAGACCCACCUCMUAAUUUCUG